UGGGGAAUUUUGGACAAUGGGCGAAAGCCUGAUCCAGCAAUGCCGCGUGUGUGAAGAAGGCCUUCGGGUUGUAAAGCACUUUUGUCCGGAAAGAAAUCCUUGGCUCUAAUACAGUCGGGGGAUGACGGUACCGGAAGAAUAAGCACCGGCUAACUACGUGCCAGCAGCCGCGGUAAUACGUAGGGUGCAAGCGUUAAUCGGAAUUACUGGGCGUAAAGCGUGCGCAGGCGGUUUGCUAAGACCGAUGUGAAAUCCCCGGGCUCAACCUGGGAACUGCAUUGGUGACUGGCAGGCUAGAGUAUGGCAGAGGGGGGUAGAAUUCCACGUGUAGCAGUGAAAUGCGUAGAGAUGUGGAGGAAUACCGAUGGCGAAGGCAGCCCCCUGGGCCAAUACUGACGCUCAUGCACGAAAGCGUGGGGAGCAAACAGGAUUAGAUACCCUGGUAGUCCACGCCCUAAACGAUGUCAACUAGUUGUUGGGGAUUCAUUUCCUUAGUAAUGUAGCUAACGCGUGAAGUUGACCGCCUGGGGAGUACGGUCGCAAGAUUAAAACUUAAAGGAAUUGACGGGGUCAUAGCUGUUUCC
rnacentral:rRNA from 1 species